UGGAGGGGGACAGAUGGGCAGUACCUAUUUUAUUUUUGACAAAAUGACGUUUUUUUUUUAAAUUACUUUUUAAGGGUGGAGGGGGAGAGAUGGAUGACAUCAAUAUAACAAAAUUAUUUUUUAAGGAUGGAGGAGAGAGAUGGGCAGCACUGGUAUUUUUUAGUGCGAAAAUAUGGUCUAAAUUGUGAAGGGUGAGAGAGAGGCGGCAUUGGGUAAGUGGAGGGUGAGGGAGAGGCGACAUUGGUGGCAGUGGAGGGUGAGAGAGAGGCGACAACGGAUUUAAAACCUUUUAAAUACAGUGUUUUCUUAAUAUUUUUGAAGGAUAUUAGUACAAGGGAAACAAAUUUGGUUGUAGAAGAAGAGAAAGCAAAGCAGAAUUCAAGGUUAGUAUAUGUAUUAAUUUUUU
rnacentral:lncRNA from 1 species